UUCUCAGUUCGGACUGCAGUCUGCAACUCGACUGCACGAAGCUGGAAUCGCUAGUAAUCGCGGAUCAGCACGCCGCGGUGAAUACGUUCCCGGGCCUUGUACACACCGCCCGUCACACCAUGGAAGUCUGCGAUGCCCGAAGCCGGUGGCCUAACCACUUAUGUGGAAGGAGCCGUCUAAGGCAGGGCAGAUGACUGGGGUGAAGUCGUAACAAGGUAGC
rnacentral:rRNA from 1 species